GAAUAUGUGGUUUUCCCAAGCUCAUGCUUAAAAGAAAGUGAACUGCCAGAUCCUCCUUGCUUGCUUUGGACAAGAGAGUAAAGGGCCUGGCAAAGAUCCCAAAAACUCUGUUGUGCAGAGUGUUCCCUAACACGAGUCCCUGACUGAUUUCAGCACCUGCUCCAGACCAGUGUCCUGUAGCAUGUGUACUACAGAGGCUUCCCAAGCAUCCUGCACAUACUGUGGUGGCCCCAAGCACUUAGGAACACCAGCCUGCUUGGCAUGACAUGCUUUGACUGUCCACUGUGUCCUUUCCCAUAUGUCCACAGCUAUGCCAGCCCUUCCUGAUGGUAUUCAUGCAGAAGGAUGAAGAAUGGUUUUGUCUUCCAGCUUCUGAUAAGAAAAACAAAAGUAAAAGAAGACACAGGUAUGUGCUAGCUGGAAGAAACCUGUUCCAACACUCGGAUUAUAAGAAAAAGAGUAUGUUGAGAGAAGAAAGAAGUCUGACAUACUUUCUACUUGAUCUGAAAUUCAUCUCCAUGCAUCAGCUUUCUGAGUAUUUUUUAAUGCUGUAGUCCCACGUUACAGGUAUAUGCUGCAGGAUAAAGAGCAUCAGUCCCUUCUGGAAAUGCCUUGGGAAUACAUUACCUGGAGGAAGCACGAGAAUUUGUGAAAUUCUGAAGAGAGAAGAACAAAAGGUACUAAAUCUGAGGCUGUGGCUGCUAAAAUGAGCUGCUGAGCACUGGAGAGCUGCAGAACCUCUGCACCUGUUAUUUCCAGUAAUAGAAAAGAAACCCAAGUGUCUCAAAGGUGUGGAUGCUAUUUUGUUUGGUUUGGGAGAAGUGUUAAAUAAAAUAACCGUUCUGAAAGCA
rnacentral:lncRNA from 14 species